GGACUCAUCACAUGUGCUGCUGCUACUGUUUAUUAUCUAUCCUGUUGCUUCGUCACUUCAUCCCAUCACCGUUCUCCCCUCAGCAGACUCCACUGCCGUUGUAGGGACACUUGAAAAGAUAUUAAUUAAGAAUCAAGAUUCCUGGCACACUCUCCCAGUUGUUCCAAUGUGUCCAACAAUCGAUGCCACAUUUCCUUCAUACACCGUGUCACAUACAUCAUGGAGCCCAGACUGUUUCUUCACACGCCAUGAGCAGACAGUUUGCUAGCGAUCGUCUUGUUCAUUCAAGCUAACCAGCAGUUUCCUGUCAGCUCCUAUCGAUGCGAAGCCCCUCUUUCCUCGUCCUCCUGGUUUUGACCUUUGCCUGUCCUGACCCUGCACCCGCCCGCCUGACCACUCUGCCUGUCCCUGAGUCUGCCUGCCAUCCUGUACCUUUGCUCCACCUCUGAAUUACUGAACUCUGCCUGUCACUGACCCUGUGUCCGCCUGCCGUCCUGUACCUUUGCCUUACCCUGGAUUUUUGACC
rnacentral:lncRNA from 1 species